rnacentral:lncRNA from 7 species
AAUGUGAAAUUCAACCAUGCUCAGGUUGCAGUAGGAACUGCAAGUGUCUGAAGCUGGAGGAUAAGAAUUUAUUCACAAAGCUGUGUUGUCCUUUCCUGGCAGCCUUCAUAUUUUCUUCUUAUCUGUGGUACGCUGGCAGUUAGUGAAAAGGAAAGGAACAAAUCAAGACUUGAGCCAUGGACAACCUCUUGAUAUUUUCUAUUCCUCUGAGCCUGGGAAUUUUGCCAAUCCCAUCUCUGGCCCGACUGGAAAGGAAGGAAAAAUAAUAGCAAACCUUUAUAGCCAUGUGCUGACAAUGAGGAGCCAGCUAGCCUUAGUCUUGGAGAGAUCUACUGGUGGUGCUUCUACCACCCACCGUGGCAGAUUUAUUUUCCAGUGAAAGGUCUACAGGCUUCUACAAUUCUGCAAAAUGUUCAGCUAUAUCUGUUUCUGAAGCAGAAGAAUAAAUGGUCCUCU